rnacentral:rRNA from 1 species
AUUGAACGCUGGCGGCAGGCCUAACACAUGCAAGUCGAGCGGAUGAAGGGAGCUUGCUCCUGGAUUCAGCGGCGGACGGGUGAGUAAUGCCUAGGAAUCUGCCUGGUAGUGGGGGAUAACGUCCGGAAACGGGCGCUAAUACCGCAUACGUCCUGAGGGAGAAAGUGGGGGAUCUUCGGACCUCACGCUAUCAGAUGAGCCUAGGUCGGAUUAGCUAGUUGGUGGGGUAAAGGCCUACCAAGGCGACGAUCCGUAACUGGUCUGAGAGGAUGAUCAGGCACAUUGGAACUGAGACACGGUCCAGACUCCUACGGGAGGAAGCAGUGGGGAAUAUUGGGCGAUGGGGGAAAGCCUGAUCCAGCCAUGCCGCGUGUGGGAAGAAGGUCUUCGGAUUGUAAAGCACUGUAAGUUGGGAGGAAGGGCAGUAAGUUAAUACCUUGCUGUUUUGACGUUACCAACAGAAUAAGCACCGGCUAACUUCGUG